CCUACGGGGGGCAGCAGUGGGGAAUAUUGGGCAAUGGAGGCAACUCUGACCCAGCAACGCCGCGUGAAUGAUGAAGGUCUUCGGAUUGUAAAGUUCUGUGAUGGGGGAUGAACACAAUAACGGUACCCCAAUAGCAAGCCACGGCUACCUACGUGCCAGCAGCCGCGGUAAUACGUAGGUGGCAAGCGUUAUCCGGAUUGACUGGGCGUAAAGGGUGCGUAGGUGGGUUAGUAAGUUGGCGGUGUAAUUCCGGGGCUCAACCCCGGCGCUACCGCCAAAACUAUUAGACUAGAGUGCAGGGGGGGUAAGUGGAAUGCCUGGUGUAGCGGUGGAAUGCGUAGAUAUUAGGAAGAACACCAGGGGCGAAGGCGACUUACUGGACUGUAACUGACGCUGAGGCACGAAAGCGUGGGGAGCAAACAGGAUUAGAUACCCUUGUAGUC
rnacentral:rRNA from 1 species